CUCCUUCUUUCUUCUUCUUUUUCCGUCUGUCUCGUCUCUCUCCCUCUCGGCCCUAUCUCAUCUCUCUCUUCUCUGCACCGCGAAAACACACACACAUCAUCGCACGCAAGCGUACGUGAGGAAGACCCAUCACCCAUCACCAUCUCGUCCUGUUCUCUCUCUCUCUCUCUCCCUCGUUCCCACUACUCCAAAAAACUUGAAAAUGAGCUCCGGCGAGAUUUUUCAAUCUUCGGUUAGGUUUUAGAGCGGAAUCGAACUCGGGUGUAGGAACACCCAUUUCCGGCGAACCGAGGGUGUCAAGGGAGAUUCCGGCCAUCUCCGGCCGUUCCACGACUAAAGGAAGGACUUAGAAUCGAGGCGUACAAUCCCGGCAUCCAGGUACUUCCGUAUCGGUAUCUUCGAGUCCUCUCGAUGUAGGAUCCACUUCUAUGUUCAUUCAAUUUUUACAUUAAUUCUUUUAAUGUUCUAGAUUAGACGUAUGCUCUGAAUACAUUCCUUAAAUGCAUAUUCAUUGGUCUUUUACAUUCAUAAGUCUUAUUUA